CCAGCCUAGAAGGGGCAGCCAGGCAAGAGGACAGUGGGGAGAGGAUGGGCACAUCACAUGGAAGGGACGGCAUCAACGAAGGUCUGGGUUGGGACCACAGUGUGGCCCCAGAGCAUGGGGAACCACGCGAGACCUCUGCCAUCCCAGAGCUGUGGUGACCAUGGGAAUGUCCAUCGUUCGUUCUCAGAGCCUUCAGGAUGAGGCAUCACAGAGAUGGCUCAUAACCACCCGGUGACCUCCAGCAGAGACACGCCAGGAAGGCAGGAAGGGGCCGUGCAGCAGGAUCAUGUUCUGGACUAGAAAGUACGUCUGCUCAUUACCCGACCUUUGCUAAGUACACCAACUAAUGGAGCGAGAGACAUGAAAGAUCUUCACAGGCCAUGUGGAAAUGUAAUUCAAACCCAGCCCGAGGAGGUCACACCGCUUGUCAUUCAUUUAUGCAUUCAUGUAUCCCACAAGGAAACCUGGAACAUGCUAUGAGCUGGGGAUACGAAUAGGAAGCACGGAGGGAGCCUGUGCUGGGGAAUCUGAAAUGGAUAGAAGUACCUGCCGCACAGGGAUGCCCUCCUGCCGCGAGCUGACAAACAUCACGGUUGCUGGGAGGAUGACCUCUCACAGGAGCUUCAGAAGUCAGGUCUGUCUGUAAUCGAGAUGGGAGUCCAAGCCUCGCGCGGUCCCUGAAUUAAUUCGGUCCUGUUAGACGAGGAGCCAGGCCGACUUUGUGCUGCUGCCUGCGCCCUCCGUGGAGAGGUUCCCCGCGCCAUGGCUUCCAUUCUGGGACCCGCUGUUUUUCAUCACUUCAGCACAAUCUGGAAAACAUUCUCUGAGUCUAUUAUUCCUGUCUCCUGCUGCCACGCCGAGGCGGUUGUUAACAAUGCCCUCUGCCCACCCCAGACCCCUCCUCCAUUUAAAUACCAGUCUGAUGGGCCAAGAGAGCGUGUGGUGGCUGCUCCAGACUAAAAAGUUCCUGUUAUUUUAUUCCCUUCUUACUCUCAUUCAAUUUCCUUCCAGAUGGGGACAGGUGGGUAAGAAAAUAAAUGGAGCUGGAAUUACAAUCGCAAGAAGACAGGUUCGGAUGCAGUGGGGAAAUUAGAUGUGGCGGGAAAAUUUGUCUAGGGCCCUAUGGGUGUGUCCCUGGAGGGCUCGCAGGCCACCACGACUCCCAAUCCCAGCCUAGCUGUCCUCUCGGUGGUCUGAGUGGGGACUCAGAGUGACCAACAUUCCUCCCCCCACACAGUCUCCUGACUGAAAGGAGAUCUUAUCAUGGCACCCCCAUAGCUUGGGUCUCCAGGAUAAUAGCACUUAGCCCUUGAACCUUUCUUGUGGGAUUUUCUUCUUUUCUAUCUUUACUCAAAUACAAUCUCCCCCAGGAAGCCUUCCUUGAUUACCCCUCCUCUGUGCUCCCCCCAAACUUUGCUUAUGUCCCCACUAACUGUGUUAUUGACCUAUGGCGCCCUUCUGCAUCGUGAGCCUGUUUCCACUGGCGAUGGCUGGUGCCUUCCUGUACAGAGGAGGCUUUGGUACAUAUGUGCUAGAGAAUGACUCUUCUCGUCCUCUUACCUGCUGUGUGACCUUGCACAAAACCCUUUAUGUUUCUGGUCCUGAGCAACUGUUUGCAACAUAGGACGAUAAGACCCAUCUUACAAGGCUGUUAUGAGGAAUAAGUGAGAUUCCAACUUUCUCGUCUCUAGGGCACUGAGGAUCUGGAGCCAGGUGGACCUGGCGUGGAAUCAGUCCCGGUUUCCACUGUUUUCUAGCUGUGUCUUGAAUUCUGUUGCAACCUCUCUGUGCCUCAGUUUCUUUAUCUGUAAGAUGAUGAUGAUAACCCCUAAGCAUCUCAUAUACUUGUUGGGAGGAUAAAAUGGGAUAAUGCACAUGAAGCACUUAGCAUAGGUUCGGCCCAGGAUAAACACUCAAAAUAUGAAAAUUAUUAUUGUCGUUGUUAUUAAAAUUAUGAGGUGGUGGGGGUAGCAAUACCAGCCCAGGAUAGUGCCCAGUGGCCGGUGAGUGUUGAGUGUAAAGAAAAGGAAAAUGUUUUCAUUCCAAAGUGGGGAGCCUUGUACACCUAUAAUGCUCAACCAUGUUACCCUUUGUCAAUCAGGGGUGACUGGGACAUGAUGCAGGUGAUCAGAGAACAUAGGCCUGGAGAGGUGCCCCGGGGGGGCCUGCCCCUUCCUGGCUGUCACAGCUCUCCUCAGCCUCCCGGCUCUUCCAGCCGUUGCCAGAUGCAGGGGAGCCAGAGGUGACAGAGACUCCCCCACUGAGAGCCAGAAAUUUAACCCAGAAGGAAAGAAAAUCUAUGGCUGCCAGCUCACAUGCAGCCGGGAGCAAUUGCUAAUGAGUCAAGGUCGAUGGCCAGACAGACAAGAAGAACCAAGGGAAGAGCUGGCAUUUGCUGAGGACGCUGAUUUCCAAGCUCUGGCCUGUGGCGGAGCAGCAGAAGUGUGCUUGUGGGGACCUCGGCCUUCCUUCCCCGCUGUGCGGGCCUGCGGCUGCCCGGAGCUGUGAGCUGUGUCCGGGUUCGUGUCGCUGCCCGCCCGUGUCUGUAUCUCUCACAGCUAGCGUGUCACAGGGGCUUAUUCUGUGCUCGUUUACACAGGCCGCGGUAAUAGCCAGUCUUAUCCAUGACCCCGACACUGGCUUCCUCGCCAUGAGAUGGGCACAACUACCACACGGGCGGUAGUCAGGAUCGGCUCAGUUAUGCUGUGGUAAUGAGCACCUCUCAGCCUGAAGUGUCCCCAGCGACAUUGCAAGUCCCUCCUGGAUCAGUCUGCGCGAUUGUCAUUGUCACCCUGGGGCCCAGACCGAGAGAACAACCAUCGUGUGGAUCACUGCUGGUCUCUUGACGGCGCGUGAGAGAGUGGAUCGUGCACUGUCUCAUAAGGCUUCCUCCUGGAAGUGACGGACAGUACUGCUGCUCACAUUUCAUUGGCUAAAGCGACCCAUAGGGCUGCUUCUAACUCCCAGGGAUGGGGGCAUUUGUCACCCUACUAGGUGCUUGAAAGCAGAACUGGAAGUAUUUGGUGAACAGCAAAAAUGUUACCAAUUAGUGUGGUUUUGGGGAUGGACGAGUUCAUGUACAUCAUACACUCAAAACAGUGCCUGGCUCCUAGAAAGCCCUGCAUGGAUAUUAACCAGGAACCCCACGACUAUAUCUUUUUUUUUUUUUAAGAUUAUAUUUAUUUAUUCGUGAGAGACAUACAGGG